CUCUGUUUAGCUCAGUUGGUAGAGCAAGAGACUCUUAAUCUUUGGGUCGUGGGCUUGAGCCCCAUGAUGAAUGGAGU